GGCAUGGAUGACAGCAUGGAGGAUGAUCACUGGCAUGGAUGAGAGUUUACAGCGGUUUUAUAUUUGUUUGAAAGGUUCCGCAGUCAGAGAGUGGACUGAACUCAGCACCCUCCGCUGCACCAUGCUUGAGGCAUGUGGCGCUUUAUCUACCAAGACCACACUCAGAUCAGGAGUCUGUCUCCCUGUGUCCCAUCUCAGAGAGCCGCUGGUGUGUGUUGAAUCAGACACAGCUCAGCUUAACGGCUUACAGGUCACGACGCACAGCUGAUCUAAUGAGGAGCCUGGCUGAAGGCCCCAACAGCUCCAGGGUCAACAGGUGCUCCACCUGCAGAGACCAUGGAGCCACAGGUCUGGUACGUUCUUAUUACUUCCUGUUUACUGUAAAAAAGAAAAGAAAAACGUGGAACAGAUGAGGAUAGAGAAUUGAUAGUGUGCAUUUACAGUUUGAAUUGUGUCAUGGUUUUAGCUUUCUGGACUGUUCCAUUUGUUAUUUUUGCAAAUGUGAACCUUUUUUUCCCGAAAAUGUUUUCAACCUUUAGAAACUUUGGUUCAAAGUUAUUUUUCGAAAAUAAUUUGCCAACCUUUCUAAACUUCUUUUUACAACUUUUUCAACCUUUUUUCAACUUAAAAAAGAGCGUAAAACAGAGUAGAGUAAAGCAGAGAUAAAUAGUGUUACACAAUAGUGUAGUACAAUACAGUACAGUAGAGUAUAAUAGAGUCCUCAAGUUCACAGCUGAAACAAACGACAACAAACAAGGAAACUGGAAACCUGACGCAGACACUAACCAGUCACAGGUGCAGCUGAUGACAUCACAGGUGCAGCUGAUGACAUCACAGGGAAACACCGGGGCAGGGAAAACCCAGAUCUGGCAAGGGGAACGGCCAUGUGCGUGACACCAAGUGAUGAAGUGAAGACGGGCGAGGAGGAAGAGGACGAUGAGCAAGAGACAGAAAAAAGGAGAGGAAAAACAGAAACAGAAGCAAAAAUAAACUUUGUAUGGAAGUUUGUAAAUAAACCCUAAAAUAAAAACUCAUCUGAUGACCCUCUAGACAUUGUCCCCCGCCAAGUGGCUGGGAGGAUAUUUUAAUCCUGAGAAACAUGAUGAGAGUAGAAGAGAGGAGAGGAGGGGAAAGGAGAGGGGGAAAGAGGAGAGGAUUGGAGUGGAGAGUUUAGAACAUCGCAGAACAUCUCAAAACACCUCUGGAGAACAUCUCUCUGCAGUUCGUCUUCCAGAGGCCCUGUCUGGGGUCUCCGCGGAGGGGCUCAAUCACCACUUCACAAGACACGUGUUCCAUUCACGGUGGCGGUCUAUUAGAAGGCAGAAACUGGAUCGCUGCUCAGGGAGAUAGGAGGAGAAAUAACUCAUUUCAAGGAACAUUGGCUUCUGUAGAGCGCUGGACGAAGGGGAUAAAUAAAAUGAUAUUGACUUUCAUUAAUAAGAUGUUUCAAAUGAAUUUUGGGGAUAGAAAGCACAAAUCACUAACCCAACAUCCCAGAACAUUUAGAGUUGUCUACAAAUGUUUUAUUGGUUUUCUUUAAGCUAAACUUUACCUUUCAGUGGUGCACACACACACAGAGACACAAAAACACAGGUCUUAUUUCAACAAUUGGG